AGAAAGGGAAGAGAGAGGGGAGCUCUCUGGGCAUGGAAGGCCUGGCCAUGCUUAGGCAGCUCAUCGGUCAGCUUCAAGAGUUCUUGCAAUUCUACCACUCUCAUCCUCCACCGCCACCGCCGCCGCAACCGCCGCAACCGCCGCAGCUGCCUCUCACCCUAGCUUCAUCUCGUCAGAGGUGGUGUGUCAAAGAUAUUGAUGACAACUCUACAGAUGAUUAUUACGGUCUUGUAAUGGUGGCUGGUAGAUCAGGCAAUUGUAAG
rnacentral:misc_RNA from 1 species